CUAACUAGGAAACUUCGCUUGCUUUAAACUCUCAUCUAGAGAUGAGCCAGCUUAUUACCAGUAAUAACUGUGUAUAAAGGAAUGAGCCAUGCCGUGAGGGAUAGUCCCUGACAAUUCUGGCCUCAGUGGUAAAGUAGGUAGGCAGGUAGAUUUGACUGAGAGUGUCUUUUCUAUCUGUUGCACCGUAGCACCGGUGCGGACGAAGAGAAUUUCUCCAGAAGUGGUGAGAGGACAGAUAAAAUGAAAUGCUGGGGUAUGCUCAUCUACAGGCACAAAAUCAGGCUCUCAUAUUAACUGGAGCCACAUGGUAUUAUCAUGGUGGAAGUGAAUAACAACAGUGCUCCUGGAAAUCUGUAAGACUGCAUGCCACCAGCUGAAAAUACUGGGCCAUAAUUAAUUUUACAGCAAGCUAGGCAUUCAGAUGUACAGAAGGUACUUGUGGAAAAAUGAAACAAAGGAGACACGAAUGCAGCCAGCUGUAUGAUAAACAAGAUUUUAUGAAUGUGCUUGUUUGUAUCUAAGGAAGAACUGAUCUGCCUUGAAGACUGUCUGGUUUUCCCCAGCUUGUGUAAUAAAAGAUAUUACC